GUGUCAGCCGCCGCGGUAAUACAGAGGGUGCAAGCGUUAAUCGGAAUUACUGGGCGUAAAGCGCGCGUAGGCGGUUGUGUAAGUUGGAUGUGAAAGCCCCGGGCUUAACCUGGGAAUGGCAUUCAAAACUGCACGGCUAGAGUGUGGGAGAGGAAGGUAGAAUUCCAGGUGUAGCGGUGAAAUGCGUAGAGAUCUGGAGGAAUACCGAUGGCGAAGGCAGCCUUCUGGCCUAACACUGACGCUGAGGUGCGAAAGCAUGGGGAGCAAACAGGAUUAGAAACCCUAGUAGUCC
rnacentral:rRNA from 1 species